rnacentral:rRNA from 1 species
AUGGAGAUGAUGGCAAGGCAUCGCGCUGCAGUGGCAGUGAGGAGGCCAUCGAUGAAGGUGGUGAUGACAAAAGCUGUCUACAAAAGUGGUGCAGGGAUGGGGGAUUUGGGGUGGCGAGGGAUGGGAAGGUGGAUAAUGACCAUCGGAGGAGAUGGAGUAGUGGCGAGAUUAGACGAGGUCGCCUGCGGAGUGCGUGGGCAAAAUUUCCUUUCUGGGUUGGCCGGGGGCUUCCUUGUGUUUGUGUGCAUGCAUGAGUGGGCCUUAUUUCCAGCAUCAAUGGUGAACAUGCAUGGGCCAAACCAUUUUGUUUUGCAGAAGGGGAGGGGAGAAAACAAAAAAAAUCAGAGGGGGGAGGGGGAAGCGUACGUGGUGGGAGGGGUGGAAACCCUGGAAGCUGGGCUGGAAGGAUCAGGCUGUCAUGAAGUGAAGUUUAUUUGUUUAUAG